CAUAUCAAAAGCGGAGGAAAAGAAACCAACAGGGAUUGCCUCAGUAGCGGCGAGUGAAGCGGCAAGAGCUCAGAUUUGAAAUCGUGCUUUGCGGCACGAGUUGUAGAUUGCAGGUUGGAGUCUGUGUGGAAGGCGGUGUCCAAGUCCCUUGGAACAGGGCGCCCAGGAGGGUGAGAGCCCCGUGGGAUGCCGGCGGAAGCAGUGAGGCCCUUCUGACGAGUCGAGUUGUUUGGGAAUGCAGCUCCAAGCGGGUGGUAAAUUCCAUCUAAGGCUAAAUACUGGCGAGAGACCGAUAGCGAACAAGUACUGUGAAGGAAAGAUGAAAAGCACUUUGAAAAGAGAGUGAAACAGCACGUGAAAUUGUUGAAAGGGAAGGGUAUUGCGCCCGACAUGGGGAUUGCGCACCGCUGCCUCUCGUGGGCGGCGCUCUGGGCUUUCCCUGGGCCAGCAUCGGUUCUUGCUGCAGGAGAAGGGGUUCUGGAACGUGGCUCUUCGGAGUGUUAUAGCCAGGGCCAGAUGCUGCGUGCGGGGACCGAGGACUGCGGCCGUGUAGGUCACGGAUGCUGGCAGAACGGCGCAACACCGCCCGUCUUG
rnacentral:rRNA from 1 species